rnacentral:RNase_P_RNA from 1 species
CAGGUCAGGGGGGUGGUCGCGCUCGGAAGGCCGAACCCUUCCGGGUGAGGAAAGUCCGGGCACCGUAGGGCAGGGUGCCAGCUAACGGCUGGGCGGGGUAACCCGACGGAAAGUGCCACAGAGAAGAGACCGCCAGCGGCCCUUCGGGGUGCGGGCAAGGGUGAAACGGUGGGGUAAGAGCCCACCGCCUGGCCUGGUAACAGGCUGGGGCACGGCAAACCCCACCCGGUGCAAGGUCCGGUAGGCAGGAAGGGCUUGCCCGGCCCGUCAGAACCUGCGGGAUGGACCGCUUGAGGCCAGGGGCGACCCUGGUCCCAGAGAGAUGGCCACCGAAACAGAACCCGGCUUACGCCCUGGCCUGGGGC